UAAUUUAGUUAUUUUACGACU
rnacentral:piRNA from 1 species